AAUAUCUUGAUUUUUGUAAUAUGUGUGACAAUAUCAGAUGUUCCAGCUCCCCUUGCGACCAAAAUAUACUAUUCCCAAAGAAAUCACAAUCUCCGAAGAGCCAUUUCUCGCAUGUUCUUUGAGGAACCAGACAAAGAGUUCAGCAAUGAGGUUCCAUCCUCAGAAGAAUAUCAAGAGUUCUAAAGAUGGGAACGUGUUACUGGAACAUGAAUUAGUGGAACAGAAACCUAAACUUAGUUCUUUCUUGGCACACAGAGACAGCAAUUUUUUGCUCUUUGCUCGAACGACUGAUCACAUUCUUUCAGCAAGGUCAAACUUCUACAUGGGCGAGCUGGAGCAUUUGAACCAUCCAUGAUCUCAGCUGCUCAGCUCCCUGUGAUUAAUACUAUAGGACCUCAUUAUAUAUCAAAUUCUUAUUCAUUUUCUGACAAACCAGGUACUCUUCAGCCGAGCAGUGGAAGUGUUCCGGUUGUAUAGGACUCAGCAUGGAGAAUUUGCUUGGUACAGCUGUUACUCCUUUUGCUCUAACUGAUGACUUAGGCUAAACUUGAUAACGGAAAAAAGAAAAGAUGCACAGUGCUAGCGUAACAUUUAACUGUGAUCACAUUGCACCCACUACUAAUUUAAAGACCAGUGUGUAUAGGCUGCUUCUAAUAUUGUGAAUACUCAAUACUCUAGCACCAACAUGGAAUCAUCCGUCAUUUUCUAAUUAGUCGAGCCAAUCACCCGUUUACUUUCUUAGCCAACAUUUCUCAUUGGUAUUGCACAUCAUUACUGAAUGCAUCACUGGUGUUGCUGAAUUUUCUGUUGCCACGCCCACACAGAUGUUUUUCGGGCCUGUUUCGGUGUUUCCUGUCUUGUUUAUCCUACACCAUGUGAUUCUUUCUUGACGUGAAAUCCACAAUUCUAGAGUGGUCUCAAUCUAUCAAGUAUGCUAUAAAUUGUUUGCUAGCCAACAAUUAGAUUAGUGAGGGUUGUUCAAGCUGCUUUAUGAUUGUUGGAGCCUAGAUAUAUUGGUAUAUUAUUGGUUUUAUCAUUUUGUUGGUAUUACCAUAUUGUAUGUGGGUGUUGUAUUAUGUGAGUGGAGACAGCUACCUAACA